rnacentral:rRNA from 1 species
GGGUCAGUAGGUUGGUCGUGCCACCGGUACGUACUGGUCUCACUGAUUCCUCCUUCCUGAAGAACCGUAAUGCCAUUAAUAUGGUGUUGCGGGGAAACAGGACUGUUACUUUGAAAAAAUUAGAGUGUUUAAAGCAAGCUAACGCUCGAAUACAUUAGCAUGGAAUAAUGAAAUAGGACGAUCGAUCCUAUUUUGUUGGUUUCUAGGAUUGACGUA